GUGAAUCAUCGAAUCUUUGAACGCAAAUUGCGCUCUCUGGGAAUAGUAAGCGUAUUUGAGGGUCAGUGUUAAUAAAAAUCGGGGUGUGGCUUCUUUGUGAUGCGCCGGAGUUUGGGUCAUCUUAAGAUACUUUGGGUUUUAAGAGGCGUAAGAUGGACUUUUUGGGCGCAGUGUAGAUGAACAUAAAUUCUGGUUUUUAGUCGUCUGUCUGAGUACUCAAAAUCCUAUUAGAUGCGACCAUAUCUUGUGGUUUCGUGUC
rnacentral:misc_RNA from 1 species